rnacentral:rRNA from 1 species
AGUCGAUCGAGUAGCAAUACUAGAGGCGAACGGGUGAGUAACACGUAUCCAACCUUCCCUUUUGACUGGGAUAACUAAAAGAAAUUUUAGCUAAUACCGGAUGAUAUAUUUAGACGCAUGUCUUUAUAUUAAAAGUUGGGUUUCCAACACAUUAGGAUGGGGAUGCGCCACAUUAGCUAGUUGGUAGGGUAACGGCCUACCAAGGCAACGAUGUGUAGCUAUACUGAGAGGUAGAAUAGCCACAAUGGAACUGAAACACGGUCCAUACUCCUACGGGAGGCAGCAGUAGGGAAUCUUCCACAAUGGGGGCAACCCUGAUGGAGCAACGCCGCGUGAACGAUGAAGGUCUUCGGAUCGUAAAGUUCUUUUAUAAGGGAAGAAUACUAAAAGAAGGAAAUGUUUUUUAGUUGACGGUACUUUAUGAAUAAGUGACGGCAAACUAUGUGCCAGCAGCCGCGGUAAUACAUAGGUCACAAGCGUUAUCCGGAUUUAUUGGGUAUAAAACAAGCGCAGGCUGUCUAACAAGUUUAAAGUGAAAUAACAAGGCUUAACCUUGUUCUGCUUUAAAAACUGUUAGGCUAGAGUAUAUAAGAGAAUGGCGGAACUCCAUGUGUAGCGGUGGAAUGCGUAGAUAUAUGGAAGAACACCAGUGCCGAAAGGGGCCAUUUAGUAUAAUACUGACGCUUAGGCUUGAAAGCAUGAGUAGCAAAUAGGAUUAGAUACCCUAGUAGUUCAUGCUGUAAACGAUGGAUACUAAAUAUUGGGCAAAAAAUUGCUCAGUGUUAACGUUAAUACAUUAAGUAUCCUACCU